rnacentral:lncRNA from 10 species
ACCUGGGGACACUGAGUGAAGGCUGUAAUUGCAAAGAUGUUUUCACAUGGGUGAAUUGGAAGCCCUAUGGAUGAAAAGCAAACGACGGAAUAGGGCCCUGGAUUGCUUGGCUGAAUGGAAGGGAAAAUGAAACAGGGAUCAGAGAAAGGUUUAAAUGUGGAACGAUCAAUCUUAGAUGUGAUCUGGACUUCAGUUGAGUGGAAUUUCUUGAAUCCUUGAUGUGAAUGAGGAAUGCGGAGGAGCCCAUGCAAAAGCAGAUUUACUGGAAAGGAGAACUGGAAAUUUCAAGGGAGCUGAAGACUAUAGGAUGUCAACUGUGGAUACAACUCACAAGCUACCAUAUUGAUGUGACAUGAUGAAGUGGGAAGGAAAGCCAUCUGGAGUUUCACUGGUGAAUUGAUACAUCUUGCACUUAACAUUGUGUAUCCCCUGGACUUUGAUCAAAUGGACAUGGGCUUUCUGAUCUACUGCAGAGUGCCUGGAAAUUCAGGCUCCUAGGAGGAAGGAACUUGCAUUAUCUCAGGUGAGACUUUGGACUUGGACUUUUGGAUUAAUGCUGGAGUGAUAUAAGACUUUGGGGGACUGUUGGGAAGGCCUGAUUGUGUUUUGAAAUGUGAGAACAUGAGAUUUGAGAGGGUCCAGGGGUGGAAUGAUAUGGUUUGGCUGUGACCCCACCCAAAUCUCAUCUUGAAUUGUAAUCCCGAUAAUCCCACCUGUUGAGAAGGGGCCUGGUAAAUGAUGGGAUCAUGGAGGCAUUUUCCCCCAUGCUGUUCUCAUGAUAGUGAGUUCUCAGGAGAUCUGAUGGUUUUAUAAAUGGCAGUUUCCCCUAAGCUUUUCUCUCUCUUCUGCUGCCUUGUGAAGAGGUACUUGCUUCUCCUUCACCUUCCAUCAUGAUUGUAAGUUUCCUGAGGCCUCCCCAGCCAUGUGGAACUGU